rfam:Capsicum annuum cultivar Zunla-1 chromosome 9, whole genome shotgun sequence
ACCUCGUGGUUGGGACAUUACAUAAGAUUUCCAUUAAAUAUCUCCCAUACCUCAUAUAGAGGCUCUCCAUUCAAUUGACAAAAGUUUGUAAUUUUGUCUUGCAAUU